AGAGUUUGAUCCUGGCUCAGAUUGAACGCUGGCGGCAUGCUUACACAUGCAAGUCGAACGGUAACAGGCGAAGCUUGCUUCGCGCUGACGAGUGGCGGACGGGUGAGUAACGCGUAGGAAUCUGCCCUGAAGUGGGGGACAACCUGGUGAAAACCAGGCUAAUACCGCAUACGCCCUACGGGGGAAAGCGGGGGACCUUCGGGCCUCGCGCUUCAGGAUGAGCCUGCGUUGGAUUAGCUAGUUGGUAGGGUAAAGGCCUACCAAGGCGACGAUCCAUAGCUGUUCUGAGAGGAAGAUCAGCCACACUGGGACUGAGACACGGCCCAGACUCCUACGGGAGGCAGCAGUGGGGAAUAUUGCACAAUGGGCGCAAGCCUGAUGCAGCAAUGCCGCGUGUGUGAAGAAGGCCUGCGGGUUGUAAAGCACUUUCGAUUGGGAAGAAAAGCGAGUGGCUAAUACCCACUUAACUUGACGUUACCAACAGAAGAAGCACCGGCUAACUCCGUGCCAGCAGCCGCGGUAAUACGGAGGGUGCAAGCGUUAAUCGGAAUUACUGGGCGUAAAGCGUGCGUAGGCGGCGUAGUCAGUCAGAUGUGAAAGCCCUGGGCUCAACCUGGGAACUGCAUUUGAUACUGCUAAGCUAGAAUAUGGUAGAGGGAAGUGGAAUUCCAGGUGUAGCGGUGAAAUGCGUAGAGAUCUGGAGGAACACCGGUGGCGAAGGCGGCUUCCUGGACCAAUAUUGACGCUGAGGUACGAAAGCGUGGGUAGCAAACAGGAUUAGAUACCCUGGUAGUCCACGCUGUAAACGAUGUCAACUAGCCGUUGGGUCCAUUUAAGGGCUUAGUGGCGUAGCUAACGCGAUAAGUUGACCGCCUGGGGAGUACGGCCGCAAGGUUAAAACUCAAAGGAAUUGACGGGGGCCCGCACAAGCGGUGGAGCAUGUGGUUUAAUUCGAUGCAACGCGAAGAACCUUACCAGCCCUUGACAUCCUGGAAAUUUGCUAGAGAUGCUUUGGUGCCUUCGGGAGCCGAGUGACAGGUGCUGCAUGGCUGUCGUCAGCUCGUUUCGUGAGAUGUUGGGUUAAGUCCCGUAACGAGCGCAACCCUUGUCCUUAGUUGCCAGCACAUAAUGGUGGGAACUCUAAGGAGACUGCCGGUGAUAAACCGGAGGAAGGUGGGGAUGACGUCAAGUCAUCAUGGCCC
rnacentral:rRNA from 1 species